rnacentral:tmRNA from 1 species
GUGCUUCCCAUCCCGAUUCCGAAUCCCUAUAUUCGUUUUGCCGGCGCAAGCCGGAUAUGGCGAUAAACGGCCAUCGUAAUAAACCCUGCGGACCCGGGGGCAGUACCCGGCGCCUCCACCAGAGCCCGUUCGAAAUUGCCGCCAAGGCGAGCGGUUUCCGGCGGGGGCGAAACAGGAUCGACGAGGGCGUAAAGGGUGAGCUUUCGCUCGGUAUGGUACCCGCCGUUAUCGGGCCGAACCUAUAGUUGCCAACGACAACUAUGCCGAGGCUCGCCUCGCUGCGUAAUGCGGUGAUGCAACCUCAUCCAAAGUCCUUGCGGUUCGCACCGUAAGGCGGGGUCCGGAGGCACCUGGCAACAGAAGCCUCCACU